AUCAGACGUCUUGAGCCUGUGUUGCUUCUCCAAGGUUUGUACUUGUUGAAAGAACCUUCCAAAAUAUGCAUUUGAGUGUAUAUUAUACUCCGCAUUUGCUUCUGUAGAUUUCUCCCAAAUUCCACAAAAGUUAGACAAUGUCUCAUUUGUACUUUUUGAUGUAAAAUUUCAGCAACCGUGCAAUUCGGACCCAGCAACGCACCGGGAAGUUACUUCUUCUUUUAUACAAUUCUGGAGAACUCAGCCACCACUUCAGCAGCACGUAAGCGUGCCCAUUUGCACUGCACAAAGCAGCAGAAUCACAGAUGUUCUGAAUGGAUUUGGUUCUGAAGCACUGUAAAGUUCGACAAAAAACUGCAGAGGGAUCUCUCACCUCAAGGGCACUAUCAGCACUACAUGUACAGGUUUGAAUUAUCACAUCGUUGUCAUGGGAUACAUGAAGUUCAUUAUAUCAACGACAUCAUUACACGUAUGUUUCUUCAGUAAGUGAAAUUUAUCUGCGGAUUGAACUGCCGUUACGCUCUCUGGGUUUCAUUUUUUAAUGUUGAUUUAAACGCUAUAUUAAUCAUCAUAAAAUCUCAAAUAUCGCCACAAAGUCGGACCGGCGCCACCGACGCCUGUUUGAGGUCUGCAGUACCGGCCCGUUUUCAUUCCAAGGGCUCCAGACACCCGCGCUGCAGCGGCGCCUUUCAACUGCCUCCGAUGUUAACCCAUCAGAGGAAGAGCUGCGGAGACCUGCAGAGAGCAGGUUGUAGCUGGAGGCGAGUCCACCGGGGUGCCCAGUUCAUUGGAGGGUUCCUUAUGUCAAGAUCCUUAAGCCCAAACUUGAUGCUCUUCUUCAACCCGAGUGACUUUGCUGCCUAAAGCGAAGUUCAAAUGGAAGUUUAUUUACAAAAGAGGGCUCAGGCUUUUUGUUGAGCAUCUACCCGCCGCCCAAAAAGUCGUAAGAAGCUGCCAGAUCACGUCACACGGUAAUUAGCACAUCAAUACAUUUGCUCCGCCACUUCUCUUUUUUUUUCCCCCAAGCCGGCAGCGGGGUUGUAAACGGCCCGAC
ensembl:lncRNA